GGGAGGAGUUUGCGAGGGGAGGCGCCUGCAGGGGCUCCCCCAGUUCUGCGCUGGGAGCCUGGGCACAAAGAGCCCUCUGCACUCGCGCCGCAGGACUGCCGACCCGAGGAGUUCCAGACAUGUCACAACGCCACCAUGGCCCUCACAGCAUCAAAGGAGUAACCAAGAUGACCUUUCCUCUCCUGUGCACCCGCGGGACCGUACAGACCAGCGUCAGGCUCUGCACCCCGUCCACCAUGAGAUCCGUACACGCUGAGACCUGACUCUCAGAGAGUGCAGCCAGUUCCUGGGGCAGAAGUGAGAGGAGGGGAUGUCUGAGAGCUUCUGACGGUCAAGACCAUGCGGGAAGCAUCCUUGCAGAUAAGUAUUCAAGCUGACCAGCCUGCAGCCGACCAGCCUGCCCUGUGCUGGUCUGUGCAGGGAAGUGUGGUAUCCCGGGACCCCCAGUGGGAGGGGAGAUUGGUGAUGCAGCUCCUUCACUUUCCUCCCUCUAUGCCACAAAGAAGGGGCUGGUCCCCACUUUCUGGGGCCCCGCAAUGGGUCAUUUUCGCACCCCGCUUGUGGCCUCGAGGCGAGUAUUGUAUAAACGCCACCAUCGGGAAGUUGUGAGGAGCUGAGUUAGUUACUUUGUCACCGCACGCGGAGCUGGCAUCAGGAGGAGGUGGGGGGACUCCCGGUGGCUGGCCUGCCUGCUCUUCUCGGUCCUGGCCCUUUGUCAUCAUGUUGAUAAGACUCGGCCAGGGCUCCUCUGCUUGGCAGUCACGUGGGGACCCAGCACCGCGCCUGGAGGGCACAUUGUUCUCAGGGCAGGGGGCUCAGUACCCCUGCCCCACACCCCGGACCCGUGCCCAAUCCCGGUGCUGACCGCAAGCUCUGGGAAUAGGCUGGUGAGCGGCGAGCCCGGCCCGGGCCCGGGCCCGGGGAGGGGCCUGGUUGCGGUUUCUUCCUGCAGUGUGGUUGGCUCCUCUGUCUUCCAGGAUGGGCCUGUGGGGGUCCACGUGGGAGCCGGGAGCUGGGUCCUGGAUGCCAGCGCGUUGCCUGGGCGCUGCCGGCACCAACACCGACCGAGCCCUUCUCCCAGCCUGCGGAUCCGGACGUGAACACCAGGCCCGUGCAUGGUUCUGCCCUCUCAGAUCAUCCCGUGACCAUGUGCCUGAUCCCAGUCUCAGCAAGGGAGUGAGCUCCCCGUCCUGGGAGGUGGCUCCGCAUGCUCAGGACUCCGGCCUGGUCUUGUCUUUGGAGCCUGGGGGACCUGGCCGCAGGGACGCAGGGAGCAGCCUUCGGCGGUUUUCCGGAAGCCUGGACAAUUCUCCCAAGACCUUAGUCUUCCCACCCCCUGGGAUGCAGACUCUCGUGGAUGGAUAACGGGCCCCCUGGUCGAGGAUCAGCGAAAUCAGGACCUGGCUAGGGAGGCCGGCUCGAGGGUGGGAGGGCAGCCCAGCGGCCCGCCCUCCCCUUCUGGGCCUUCCUGUCUGGGCCUGGCGGUCACUUCCUGACCUUGGGCAGACGUGGCUUCCCCUUGAAUCUCUGCUGGUGCUCAGGGGGAGCCUGGCCGGGGCAGAGGCCCUGACUGCACCCUCCCCAAGACCAGGUCCCAAGGACCCUACCAAAUAGGGGGGGCAUGGGAUGGGAUGGGAACAUGGAAUGGGAGUGGGGAGGAGCUGCCAGUGGGAGGGAGGGCGGAUGCGGCUCAGUGGGCGCUGUCGCUGGCAUUUGUCUCGUGCCAUUUGCCUUGUGAGUGAUUCUCAUUUCGGGGCCGCCUUUUGGAUGGGGAUUUUCCGGGCACCUCCUCUUUCUGAUGGUCACUGGGAGGAGGCAGUCAGGGUCUGGGCGGAGCCUGGGCCUUCUCCCCAUGUUGUGGGCUCCUGGAGGGGCAGCUGGCAGUGGUGGUGGUGGUGGGAGGGGGGAGGGGGGAUAGCAAUUGGUGUGCUAUCCUGAAAGGAGAGGGUUUGUUUCCCAGAGGGGAGGAGACCCAGGCCAGGGGACUCGCCAGAAGGAGACGGACACUGGGCCUCGUUCCCACCACCUGAAGGGGCCGGGCCGGGUCUCAGACCCCUGCUCCCUGCAGCAGUCCUCGAUUCUGCCCCGGGGGGCAAAGGCAGGCAGGGCAGGCCCCACGCAGGCACGCACUGGCUCACCUCCAUGCCCACCUCCCCACUCCCCGUCCAGCCGCGUCCAGAGGGGAGCUGCCAGGGAACUCCCUGAGGCAAGUGGAGAGCUAGGCCUUGUUUUCCCAGGGUGGGAGGGGGCCUGUGCCAGUCAACGCGAGCUGCCAGGACAGAUGGGAAGCACACAUGGAUUUCCUCACAGUUCUGAAGCUGGAAGUCCAUCCCGGUGCCAGGGCUGCUUUCUCCUGCGGCCUCUCUCCUCAGCUUGCAGACGGCCACCUUCUUGGUGUCCUCAUGUGGCCUUUUCUCUGGGCACACACCUGGGGGGAUACAUUUGGUGUCUCUUCUUCUUUUCAUAAGGACACCAGUCCUAUCAGGUUAGGGCCCCACCCUUAUGACCUCAUUUAACCUGAACUACCUCUUUAAGGUACCCCAUCUCCAAAUAUAGUCACAUUGGGGGGGGUUAUGGCUUAAACUAAUGGCUUUGGGGAGGGACACAGUUUAGUCUGUAAUAGGGGUUCACCACAAACAUGAAAAGCAGGAGCCAUCUCCUCUUCACCAUCCCCUCCCUGGCUAGGGUGGCCCCGGGUGCCUUGGGGGCCCCCAGGGCAGUGAGGAGGAGUCCCUGGGAGAGGGAUGUUCUGGGAAGAGCCUGGGCUUUGCACCGAGGGUGCGUGCUCUGCUGUACAACCUCCCCUCAGUGAGUCUGAUUUCCAAGCUGCAACAGGGGCCAUCUGCUCCCCUGGGGGCCGCAGCAGGGAUUCCGCAGAGUCAAGUGCUUGCGCAGUGUCUGCCUCCGAAUCAUGGCUCCCUAAACAUGCCCGCCCACCUGGAGUUGAGAUCUAGGACUUGCCUGUGUUCGGCAUCUGGUGUAAUCUCAGCAUCUGCAGGUGCAGAGGCAUCUCUGACUAGCCCUUCCCCUGCCUGUUCUCUCAAGAUCCCUCUCGAAGCAGCUUGGGGAAGUGGCUGCUUUUCACGGCCUCCGUGGUAGCCCCAAAGCGUCCUGGGGUGUUUCAAUUCUAGUGGCAUCAGUCUUGAGCAUCUACCGUGAGCCCUUUCCUGUGUUAGCCACGUGGGGGCGAGGUUCCAGCCUUCAGGAUGUCACUGCCGUGCUGUGGGGGAGAAGACCCGCUCCCCACAGAGAACUGGAGAAUGGGGCAGAAGUCAGUCCGCGGAGAGCGUGGGAGGAAAACCCCAGAGUAGGCUGUAGCAGUCUAGACGGGCUCCCCAGCAAGGCCGACCCAGUCAGGUCCUUGAGGGAUGAGAAAGGUGGCUUAGCUGAGAGCUUCCACUAGGGGUGAGGGGCCUGGGGAAUCAGAGCAGAGAUCCCAAAGGUGAGUUCUAGACGUCAUUGCUUUUUUUAAAAAAGUGAGUUCAACUUCAACAGGCAUCUGUAGUGCAGGACUUAUCAGAGCCUUUACAAGGCUGGUGGGAAUCGUGCGUCCUCAAGGAUAGAUAGCGGAUGAGGUGUUUUCCCCCAACCUUGACGGGGCAGAAUCUUUUUUAUUUUAUUUUUUACAGAGCGUCAUUUAGAGAUGGGAAACGCUGGGGUUUCUGUGGGAAAACCACAGCAAGGACAGGAGACGACAUAAGUAGGGCACACACAGGUGCUUUGCGGCAUCAGCUCUGGAGAGGCCACAGACCCGGAGGGGCAGGGAAGUCUGACCUUGGUUCUGGGUGUUCGUGAGCUCUGUGCAGCUUUGGGAGGAGGAGGAGGAGGAGGAGACAGGCUAGUGGUUGGAGCAGCCAGAGGCCUGGCUGUUGGUGAUUGGAAGAGAAAGUCCACUGGACAUGGUGGUUCUGGGGCAGCUGGCCUUUUGUGGGAAGACGCUGGUGUGUGCGUGUGCGUGCGUGAGUGUGACAGGAUCCAGCCCCCUGGGAAGGGGCUGACCAGAAGCAGGCAGGGGGUUCUAGCCAGGACAAGCAGGGUCUAAUUUGCAGGGGAACUGGAGUGUUUGGUGGGAGGGUCUUUGAGGCCCACAGUCAAGAAGCACCGUGCUUCUGGGCCGGGUCCACGUGGAUAGGUUUGGUUCUGGUGGGCGGAGGGGUUGGGAGGCAGGCCCCCUGCCCUGGUCAGGCCCAGCUCGCUGGCUGGAGGGGGCGGGAGGCCGCGGGCUGCAGCCGGAGAGGCCCGGGCAGUGUUGCAUGAGGUGAUUAACCUACUAACCCAGGGCUCGGCCGGGACGCUGUGGCGUGUGACGAGGUGCCUGGCCUUCUGCCAACCGACUAACCCACUAACCAGGCCCUAACCCACUAACCAGGCCCGAGCAUGCCUUACUAACUCCCCGCAGCCAGACCCUACUAACCUCGCAGCUCAAGGGCCUUGAAAGGGGCUGGGACGUGGGGGCGGACGAGGCUCCAGCAGGCCCCGCCCAUGGCCCGGGAUCUCUGUGCAGACCCACCUUCCAGGGCAGGGCGUGCAAUGGGACUCACCGGUCGGCCCCUUCCUGCUGGGCGCCCAUCAGCGAGUCACCUCACCUCUCUGAACCCUGAGCAGUAGCCUGGGCGACUGGUCCUUACCUCUCAGGUUUCAGUGAGGAGUCCCGUGAAUAGUGAGGUCUUGACACCUGGCAGAAACUUAAGAAAAAAAGGGUUAGGGUGGGGGUGGGAGGCCCAGACCACCUGGUUGAUCAUGACCCCCGCCCAGGCCCUGGCCCCUCUGGGUGUCCUGCACACAGACCCUGCUGCCUGCGGCCACACACUCGCUUGGAACCCCUAACCGUCUCUUCCCCCCACUCUUCCUCCUCCUCAGCUUUCUUUUCUGUAGGCAGCUCUUUUGUUCGGUUACUAACCUGGGGGUGCCUCGAGUGCACCCCGACCGUCCCUUAACAGACUAACGGACCCACGUGUGUUCCUCCUUUUCUCCUAGUGACUCCGUGUGUGCGGCUGCGGUGCCCCUGUCUGCUGGUGCUGUGCUCUGACUUACUAACCCAGCCCCUACUAACCCUCUUUUCUCUUCUUACUAACCCCAGCCCUGCCGAGCUCUGGGCCCCCCUGGGGGCUGGUCCUACCUCCUUUUGGCAAGCGGAUGUCCCCGGGGCUGGCCCUGCAGACAGACGCUCCACUUGGCUGCCCCAAUUGGCUGUGAGUUGAGCCCAUUGGGCCAGGUCUGAGGUGGGGGGACAGCCCACGGACCAUCCCAGUGGCCCGGAGGACGGGGCGGUCAUGUGCACCCGGGAGGCUGGCCUCUGAGUAUGAGCCUCUCCUGUGCCGGGUCUGGUUGCCACAGGGACCGGGUGGGACCAGGGAAUCCUCGGGGGUGGGUGUGGAGGCCUGUGGGUCUACAGUGUGGAGCACUGGGCGUUUCCCAGCCCAGGGAGCAGAGAGAAGGGCCCGGGGUGUCCCUCUUCGCAGGGCAGCGGAGGGAGGAUCUUCCCCAUGGGAAGUGGACGCACAGGAGUCAAUGAGGGGGGAGGGGUCCCCGCACGGGAAGUCAAUAAAAAGGAUGCUUCCCGAACUCGACAUCACUGAGGGGAGCAUUUCGUGCCGGAAGUCAGCCAGAGGGGGCAUUUCCCAUAUUUGAAGGAUGGGAAGUAGUCAUCCCGAGGGGACCUUGGGCCUUAGCACAGGCAGUGAGAGGUCAUGGCCAAGAGACCAGUGAGAGGGGCUGCUCCUGCAACAGGCAGAGGGCUAGAGGGGCCCUUCCCCCAUGCCCAAGGCUGGGAUAUCGGACUUCCCCACACCGGGAGUCGAUAGGGCCCUUUUUUCUUACCAGAGGUCAUGGAGGAGGCCUGGGAAGAAAGCAGGUCCUCCCUGGGUUUGGAGUUUGCAGGAGGAAAUGUGGGAAGCAAGACGUGAACCCCAGGGCCCUGCAGGGUCCUGCAGCCCCGCAGGCCAGCCAGGAGCUCAGCCCUGGCUCCCCGUGCUGCUCCGACCCACACCCUAGUCCCCGCCGGCCUCCCCCAGAGCCCGCCAGCCGCUAGGCCAGGGCCACACCUGGGGGUGAUCCUAUGCCUCACCUCCAGUAGGCACCGCGGUCUCUUUGGGCUAAUCUCUGGCUCCCUCGCACUAACCAUUGCUCUCACCCAGCUAACCCCUGCCUUGCCCUGGCUGCCCCACCCCCCGGGGCUGACCACUCGCUAAUAGCCGACCCUGCCCAUCUGGGGGCUCCAGGCUCCUGGCCUGGCUCUUCAUUAACCGCUCCUUCACCUCCACUAACUCCUGCCCUCCCGGUCUGUUCCUCUCAGCAGAAACUAACGGCUUGUGGAUUUCCUUCUGACUAACAACAGGUCUAACACUCCUUACUGUUCCUAUUAACAGCUUGGAUGUCCGCAUGGCUGGGGCGGGGCUAACCCACGUUUGAAAUGUUGACUGACACAGGGAGAGGUGUGGCUAGUAGCCUUGGACUUGGGUGACUGCUCUGGGUCACAGCCAUCUGGAGUCAGUAAGGAUCACGGUACCGAAAGGGAGGUGCAGGGCUGGGUGUGGCUCAGGCUUGGUGGGGGAGGGGUGUCGCUGGGGUGGGGUCAGAAGCACAGUCUGCCUUGGGAGGUAUUGGCCACUGGACACAUUCUAUACACCCUCAUAAUCUGCAUUUGGGUUGUGGUCCUUUUAAACAAUAGCCUCAUAGCUGCCUCAAUAGUCAGAAUGAGUGGAUGCAGCGUUUGUAGGCCUCCAAAUGCCUCUCUGGUGUGUACAGAGACUGUGCCAUGACAUAUGAAAUCAUCAGUCACCAGCCCAGGGCCUAGAGUCCUUCAUUUGGGGACAUUACAGGUUUGGAAGCCUUAGGGCAUUAAACUUUGGAGUAUUCAGAAGUGGUGUAAACCCAUCACCCAUUUAUACCUUAGCGUGAAUUAGCCCAGCCUCCGCUUCUAACUUCUAUGCAAUUUAGUUGCAUUGAGAUGAUGGGUGUCUGGCUGGAAGGGUGUCUGGCUGGAAGGGAGUCUGGAAGGGCGGAGGAAGGGGCAGAGAGGGGAAGCCACAAGGCCUGGGGUUCCUGGGUGUGGGGAGGGGUAGGCAGGCAUCAAGGAGAGGAGGUCAUGGGAAGAGGGACCAGUUUUGCUGGCUCCCUCUGGUAGUCAGAGUCUGUGUGUGGGAGAGGGCAGCUCAUGCAGGGCCUGGAGGGUUGGAUCAGCUCAGGGACAGGGUCAAGGGCCGGCCUGGAGGCCGUGCAGGCAAAGCGCUCUGGUCGUUGGCUGCUGGUCUGGGUUGAGAGCCGCUGCAGCAGUCACAGACGCAGCUAAGCUAACCGAGUGGCGCUGGCAGUGCCGUGAGGCCCGGGUUGCAAAGGGAGCAAGAGGAGAAGGCACCAGGAAGAGCUUGCGGAAGGUGCCUGGGCUGCUGGCAGCACCGGGGAUGGGGUGGAGUCUGCGCUGGGGAAACACAUGCCUGCUGCCCUCUAGUGGCGGCCUUGCCCCAUUGCACGUAAAGCAGGAAGCUCAAAACAUUUUCCCUUCCGGAAACUCCGCUUUGUUCAACUACAAAGAUUUGACGCUGCUGAGGGCCUACUAUGUACCAAGCACUGCUCUGGGUGCUGGGACCCACACACGAGCGUUUCCAUUAUGGUGCUUAUAUAGGCUCAGCGGGGGUGGGGUGGGUGGGGGCCAUGGUAGGGAUGGUCUGGGCUGUGAAAGCAUCCAGGGGACAGACAAGGAUACUAAUGCGCACAUUCUGUGCCAGGUGCAGUGCCAGGCAUUGGGGAUGCGUGGCGAUUAGUGCUUUAAUGCCAGUGUGUUGGGGGGUGCGGGGUAGACUGGGGUGUGGGCAGUCAGGGUGGCCUUUCUGAAGAGAGGGACCUCUCAGCCGAGCCCUGGUGGCGGGGAGUGUGGUGGGGUGAGUUCCGGGCAGCAGGAAUGGUGGACACAAAGCUCUGGGGGGGGG